GUGGGGAUUUUUUAAGCGGAGUUUGAAGUUUAGAUUUCGAUAUGUCAAAACUGAUGAUCAAAUUUGUAAAAGAUGAUGCUGCAAUAAGGCCUUUUUUUUUUCUUUUCCGAACCGAUAGGAUAGAAUUAUCAAAAUAAUGAAAAUAUAUGCAUUGAUUUGCAGUUUAUCAUAACAACAGUAUUAUUACGAAGAAUUUCAAAUAUUG
rnacentral:lncRNA from 1 species